rnacentral:lncRNA from 1 species
UGGGACCCCUGUUUACUGUCAUUAUUGACUAAUUACAGCAUGAUUGCUUAGGGACAAGCCAAUUGUUUGCAUCAUGUAGAAAGAUAACGAAGAUAAAGACACUCCACUUUGGAGGAACGCAGCUCCAAGGGGAUACAUUUCUCUUUCUCACUCUCCUCAGUAAAUGAGAAAAAAUCCUGUUCGACCAUGUGGAUGGAGGGAAGAUUUCAUUUAAGGCUGUUAUCAACUGUGCAACACAAGUAUCACCAGUGCCACCACCAGCACCAGUGGCAGAGCACAACUUCCUGAGCGCUGCGAACUACAUUUUCCUGGAUGCGCUUUUCCAGGAGUGCUGGUACAGUUGGCCUUUGGGGGAACAUUAACACCAUUUGGAAGGUUCUUGGGCCAAAUGAUCUUUACAUGACUACAUCACCUGUAAGAGAACUCUUCAAGAGCUAGAAAUGAAUUACUACUUGAAUUAUUUGAAUUGAAGGGAUGAGAAUGAAACCCCAAAAGAUGGUGGAACCAUAAGAUAGAAGCUGCCUGCCUGCCUGAAUCACUUGUUGAAAAAACUUCUCAUGGACCAGAAUCAUCCAAGUUGGGUCAUUUAUGAAGCCAGAAAUCAAAAGUAAUUAUGUUUCAGUCAAUAUGCAUUUCUGGGUCUAUUUGUUACUAUACCCAACCUAAUUA